rnacentral:rRNA from 1 species
CCUACGGGGGGCAGCAGUGGGGAAUUUUGGACAAUGGGCGAAAGCCUGAUCCAGCAAUGCCGCGUGCAGGACGAAGGCCUUCGGGUUGUAAACUGCUUUUGUACGGAACGAAACGGUUCUCUCUAAUAAAGGGGGCUAAUGACGGUACCGUAAGAAUAAGCACCGGCUAACUACGUGCCAGCAGCCGCGGUAAUACGUAGGGUGCGAGCGUUAAUCGGAAUUACUGGGCGUAAAGCGUGCGCAGGCGGUUAUAUAAGACAGAUGUGAAAUCCCCGGGCUCAACCUGGGACCUGCAUUUGUGACUGUAUAGCUAGAGUACGGUAGAGGGGGAUGGAAUUCCGCGUGUAGCAGUGAAAUGCGUAGAUAUGCGGAGGAACACCGAUGGCGAAGGCAAUCCCCUGGACCUGUACUGACGCUCAUGCACGAAAGCGUGGGGAGCAAACAGGAUUAGAUACCCUUGUAGUC